CAGCCACAUCAAGUUGUAACACCGAUUCCUGUAUGACCAUUGAAGUUAAGCAACAUCAAGCCUAGUUAGUACCUAGAUGGGUGACUGAUUGGGAAUAUCAGGUGCUGUA